UCUUCGUCUUUCUUAGUUCCUUCAACGUAUCGCACUGGUCCGUGGUACAUUGGGAUUACUGCAAGCUGCCCGAGGCGUGACGCCGCUUUGUAAGCGAAGUUUUCGCUCGAGUUGUUGUGCAAGAUAAUCUUCAUCGUCCCAUAAUGUAAUAAUGAGCAACAAACCUGCUGUGGAUAUCAUUGUUGCUGCGGCCAAUCCUGACCUCCCCUUAAUCAAACCAAAGUGGUUGAGGGGCAGUAUAACUUGGAUCCCCGUCUCCACCACACCAACACCGCCACCACUGAUUUCGCCAGAGUUUUGAGAAAAUAGGUCAUAUGCUGCUGAUCCAGGCGUAGCCUUCCUCGGAAACAUUGCCCGUCUAUGACGACGAACAAAGAUAAGUCCGUCAACUGUGUGAGAAAUUAAUAGACAACAAUUUUAGUUAAUUAAUGAAGUAUUGGAAUUUAUUUAUUUUCAGAAUUGAUCCGGUGCUAAUUUGAAGGACGAGAAGUUUUUCUUAAUUGUACCUGGCUGUUCACCUGCUCCUCCGCCGCUGAAGUGAGGCUGGGGAUCCUUCUUGGAUGUCUUCCGCUUAGCGUCCUUCACGGCCGACUUGACUUGGUCCUUCACGAUCCUCUUCGCAGGCUUAUUAUCGUCGUCGCCUGAAAUUCCAGAUCCCGAUCCCUGCCUAGGUCCUUCGUUAGACUUUUUCAUGGGCUUCUUUUCCGCAUCCUUAACUUCUUCUCGUCUACCUGUAAAUAAGAGCGUAAGCGUAAUGCCUUUUACCCUCAUCGCUGCUGCCCGACGAACUGCGAUGACUUGACCGUGAAGAACUACUAUCGCUGGAACUGCGGCUCGUGCUGCGAGUGGCGCUGCG